rnacentral:rRNA from 1 species
UGAGGAAUAUUGCCCAAUGGGGGAAACCAUGAGGCAGCAACGCCGCGUGAACGAAGACGGCCUUCGGGUUGUAAAGUUCUUUUCUGGAGGACGAUAAUGACGGUACCCCAGGAAUAAGUUCCGGCUAACUACGUGCCAGCAGCCGCGGUAAAACGUAGGGGACAAGCGUUAUCCGGAUUUACUGGGCGUAAAGCGCACGUAGGCGGUCAGGUAAGUUGGCCGUGAAAGCUCCCGGCUUAACUGGGAGAGGUCGGACAAAACUGCCGGACUUGAGGCUGAGAGAGGAGAGCGGAAUUCCCGGUGUAGUGGUGGAAUGCGUAGAUAUCGGGAGGAACACCAGUGGCGAAGGCGGCUCUCUGGCUCAGAACUGACGCUGAGGUGCGAAAGCGUGGGGAGCGAACGG